rnacentral:tRNA from 1 species
GGAGAGUAGGCAAAUAUUGGUUUGUUGCAUCCGACUGCUAAUCGGAGCCGGUCCCAGAGGCCGGUGCAGGUUCAAUUCCUGUGCUCUCCGCCA